GACGAACGCUGGCGGCGUGCUUAACACAUGCAAGUCGAACGGAAAGGCCCUGCAUUUGUGGGGUGCUCGAGUGGCGAACGGGUGAGUAACACGUGAGUAACCUGCCCUUGACUUUGGGAUAACUUCAGGAAACUGGGGCUAAUACCGGAUAGGAGCACCUGCUGCAUGGUGGGGGUUGGAAAGUUUCGGCGGUUGGGGAUGGACUUGCGGGUUAUCAGUUUGUUGGUGGGGUAGUGGCUUACCAAGGCAUUGACGGGUAGCCGGCCUGAGAGGGUGACCGGCCACAUUGGGCCUGAGAUACGGGCAAGACUCCUACGGGAGGCAGCAGUGGGGAAUAUUGCACAAUGGGCGGAAGCCUGAUGCAGCAACGCCGCAUGCGGGAUGACGGCCUGCGGGUUGUAAAGCGCUUGCGCCUGGGACGAAGCGUGAGUGACGGUAAUGGGUAAAGAAGCACCGGCUAACUACGUG
rnacentral:rRNA from 1 species